rnacentral:sRNA from 1 species
ACCUGCCGAAGCCUUUUGCAGCGACCAUAAAGAAUUGCACCAGUCCGCCUCCGCGGGCAACACCAUGAUCUCACUGGGACUCCGCCCCACCUAUCAGGCGUGGAGACCAGCGGCCUGUGUAAUGCAGGUUCACAGAUCAAACAAUGGUGGCUGACCAGCUGAACUGGCGGUUAAGAUAUGACCGGUCUCCGCUGUAACCAGCUGGAGAACACACGUUCCGUAGGUGAACCUGCGGAAGGAUCAUUACAGAGUUAGGGUCUCCAUGGCCCAACCUCCAACCCUUUGUGUACCUUACCUUUGUUGCUUUGGCGGGCCCGUUGGGGUGACCCACCGGCGGCUAUGUGCUGCCGAGCGCCCGUCAGAGACCCAUCAAACUCUGUUAAAUGUGUAGUCUGAGUACCAACAUAACAAUUAAAACUUUCAACAACGGAUCUCUUGGUUCUGGCAUCGAUGAAGAACGCAGCGAAAUGCGAUAAGUAAUGUGAAUUGCAGAAUUCAGUGAAUCAUCGAAUCUUUGAACGCACAUUGCGCCCUUUGGUAUUCCGAGGGGCAUGCCUGUUCGAGCGUCAUUACACCACUCAAGCUCAGCUUGGUAUUGGGCUCUUGUUCCCACGGACGGGCCUGGAAAUCAGUGGCGGCACAGCCCGGCUUCAAGCAGUAUUAGUUUAUCUUUCGCUUCGGAAGGCCGGGCCUGGGUCAGCCAGACAACCCCCCAAUUUUUCUUAAGGUUGACCUCGGAUCAGGUAGGGAUACCCGCUGAACUUAAGCAUAUCAAUAAGCGGAGGAAAAGAAACCAACAGGGAUUGCCUCAGUAACGGCGAGUGAAGCGGCAGCAGCUCAAAUUUGAAAUCCGGCUCUUUCAGGGUCCGAGUUGUAAUUUGUAGAGGAUGCUUCAGGUACGGCUCCGGUCUAAGUUCCUUGGAACAGGACGUCCUAGAGGGUGAGAAUCCCGUAUGUGACUGGCCGCCAUGCCCGUGUGAAGCUCCUUCGACGAGUCGAGUUGUUUGGGAAUGCAGCUCAAAAUGGGUGGUAAAUUUCAUCUAAAGCUAAAUAUUGGCCAGAGACCGAUAGCGCACAAGUAGAGUGAUCGAAAGAUGAAAAGCACUUUGGAAAGAGAGUUAAACAGUACGUGAAAUUGUUGAAAGGGAAGCGCUUACAACCAGACUUGCCCGUGGGUGAUCAGCCGGUAUUCUUACCGGUGCACUCGCCCGUGGUCAGGCCAGCAUCGGUUUAGGUGGUUGGACAAAGUCCCCUGGAACGUAGCUCCCUUCGGGGAGUGUUAUAGCCGGGGGUGCAAUGCAACCUGCCCGGACCGAGGACCGCGCU